UCCUUUUCGAAUCGUCGUCAGGUAAAUAAGCGCAGUUCUCCCUCCGCUCCACUAGGCGGCGUCGCUUUUAGCCUCACACCAUUCGAUGUUUGACAACAAUGAAGCUUUAUCAUGUCGUUUAAUGCUAUGAAAGUACAGAUUCUGGAGAUGACAGCUCAGUGACAGACUCUUAAUGUCUCUCAAUUACCGCCCGUCAGCAAACAAAACCGACACAAACUGCGGUAAAGUGCAGGAAUCGAGUGUAACGCGACUCACCUCUCGCGGUGUAUCUGCGCAUCUCUCACCUGCUGCUCCUCACAUUCACAGACUUUCAGAUCUGCUAGAAAGCAGGUAAGUGAUGUUGGAAGAAGAGUUCUGGAACAUGUGGACAGACAUUUGCUUUAAUAGCAGAAAUCUGGUCACGGGCAGCACACUCAGGCCCACCUCUCUCAUCUCCAGCGCACUCAGGCCCGCCUCUCUCAUCUCCAGCGCACUCAGGCCCGCCUCUCUCAUGUCUGUCUGUCUCCAUCUCAUCGCCCCCAGGUAUGUUUGCCAGUUAGUCCGUGUUUCUCAUGACUGCUUAGUCAGUCUGUUGUAUUGCCCCAGGUAUGUUUGUUAGUCCGUGUUUCUCAUGGCUGAGUAGUCACCACCGGGUAUCUUAGCCAGUCUGCCUCUAGCUUUCUGUUUCACCGCCUCGAUCAAUUAUUCAGUAUCUUUCUUUGGUGAGGGAUUUGAACCCACGCCUCCACCGUAACCUUGUCCGCAACCAACGUGUGUUUAGCCACUAGUGCCAUUGUGGCUUUCAUACUGACUGUCGACAUUGGGGCCCGCUUUGUUGGAUAUAACAUCAACAGUUUACCAUAAACAAUAGAGAGAUUCGAACCCAGGUUUCCAUGAUUAUAACUCAAUGCUCUAUCACCUGAGCUACCGAGCCUGAACAAUUAAACUGGGUUCAGUUGGGGUUUUAUUGAGAGCGUUUUAUGUAAAGGAAAAACUGUUGUAGCUGCUGGGUUUGAACCCAGCCUGUCAUGCAUGAAAGACAAGUGAUUGUCCUCUGCACCACAGAAGCUGUGAUGUGAAACAGUGGUUUUGAUUUGGUUCUAUUUAAUUACCUAUAGAAGCAAACUAAGAAACAACAGGACUUCACGUUUAAAACACAACGCUUAAUCAUCUGCGCCACUGAAUCUGUGGUAUUGCAUUGUUUUGUAGCAUAAAGUAUAGCAAGAACUUGAUGUAAGCAAUAGUGGUAUUUGAACCAAGACUUUUAUAAACAACAAAGCAAAUAACUAUCCACUGCG